UGUUUAUACCCAAUAUGAAUAAAAUUUUCAUAGUUGUAUAAAAUUCUGUUGCUUGCUUCUAGGGAGCCUCUUUUAAACUUUGAGAAAUAACUUAGGUGGUAUCCUCAUUAGAAUAGUUGAACUUGUUCAAAACCUUUCCAAAGAGGCUGCUAUAAGUUGUGAAAAUUUUAAUAUCUAAUGAUGAUAAUCGGAAACAGUAUCCUGUCACCUGUUUCGGACACAGAGUUGAACUCAAGAGACCAGUUGCUGUGCCCCUAAAUAUUAAAAGAAUAUGUAAUGCCUUUUUUAUAUUCCUUUUAAAAAUAUGGUCUGUGAAUUUUGUAAUUAUGAAAGUUUUUGCUGCUAUUUUUUUUUAAUUGCAAAAAUGGAAAAAAUAAGGGAACGUCUAUUUUUAUAUUAUCGAUUCUAACAUUAAUUUACUUUUUAUGCUAAUGCUAAACUCUUCGCGUUGCUUAAUGAUAUACAAGACCAUUAUAGUUGAAGCAGCAGUGAAGGCAGAGAGUGUGAAAUUAUAAUUUCACAUAUAAUAACAAUAGCAAAUCUGACAGGGGGUGAAUAAUAUUUUUCUUUCUGCUGCAUUUUUAAAA